CCUUUUUUAAAUUAAGUUUUACUAUAUUUUCUUAAUCAAUUUUUCUCCCUCCCAGCUUACCUUACGUCAAUUGAGAAAGAAAGAAAGAAAAUCAAAAUCCAUAUUGGAGCCCCUUAUCUCUCUAACAGGAGGACAAG
rnacentral:lncRNA from 1 species